rnacentral:rRNA from 1 species
AUACGGAGGUUCCAAGCGUUGUUCGGAAUUACUGGGCGUAAAGGGAGCGCAGGCGGACAGGUCAGUCUGAAGUGGAAAUCCGGGGCUCAACCUCGGACUUGCUUCGGAUACUGCCUGUCUUGAGUUCGUGAUAGGAAGAUGGAAUUCAGGGUGUAGCGGUGAAAUGCACAGAUAUCCUGAGGAACACCGGUGGCGAAAGCGGUCUUCUGGCACGAAACUGACGCUGAGGCUCGAAAGCGCGGGUAGCAAACGGGAUUAGAUACCCCGGUAGUCCGCGCCGUAAACGUUGUGUACUAGGUGUAGGAGGUAUCGACCCCUUCUGUGCCGCAGCUAACGCAUUAAGUACACCGCCUGGGGAGUACGCGCGCAAGCGUGAA